rnacentral:rRNA from 1 species
UACGGGGGGGGCAAGCGUUGUUCGGAAUUACUGGGCGUAAAGGGCUCGUAGGUGGCCAACUAAGUCAGACGUGAAAUCCCUCGGCUUAACCGGGGAACUGCGUCUGAUACUGGAUGGCUUGAGUUCGGGAGAGGGAUGCGGAAUUCCUGGUGUAGCGGUGAAAUGCGCAGAUAUCAGGAGGAACACCGGUGGCGAAGGCGGGAUCUCGUGGGCCGAGUGAUUGACGCUGGAGGAGCGAAAGCGUGGGGAGCGAACAGGAAUU